GACGAACGCUGGCGGCGUGCUUAACACAUGCAAGUCGAACGGUGAAGCGCCUUCCUUUUUGGUGGGUGUGGAUGAGUGGCGAACGGGUGAGUAACACGUUAGUAACCUGCCCCCUUCUUCUGGAUAACCGCAUGAAAGUGUGGCUAAUACGGGAUAUUCUGUGUCUGUCGCAUGAUGGGUCUGGGAAAGAUAUUGUUUCGGUGGGGGAUGGGCUCGCGGCCUAUCAGCUUGUUGGUGGGGUGAUGGCCUACCAAGGCGGUGACGGGUAGCCGGCCUGAGAGGGUGGACGGUCACACUGGGACUGAGACACGGCCCAGACUCCUACGGGAGGCAGCAGUGGGGAAUAGUGCACAAUGGGCGCAAGCCUGAUGCAGCGACGCCGCGUGAGGGAUGGAGGCCUUCGGGUUGUGAACCUCUUUCGCCAGUGAAGCAGGCCUGCCUCGUUUGUGGGUGGGUUGACGGUAGCUGGAUAAGAAGCGCCGGCUAACUACGUG
rnacentral:rRNA from 1 species